AUUGAACGCUGGCGGCAGGCCUAACCCAUGCAAGUCGAACGGUAACAGGAAACAGCUUGCUGUUUCGCUGACGAGUGGCGGACGGGUGAGUAAUGUCUGGGAAACUGCCUGAUGGAGGGGGAUAACUACUGGAAACGGUAGCUAAUACCGCAUAACGUCGCAAGACCAAAGAGGGGGACCUUCGGGCCUCUUGCCAUCGGAUGUGCCCAGAUGGGAUUAGCUAGUAGGUGGGGUAACGGCUCACCUAGGCGACGAUCCCUAGCUGGUCUGAGAGGAUGACCAGCCACACUGGAACUGAGACACGGUCCAGACUCCCACGGGAGGCGGCAGUGGGGAAUAUUGCACAAUGGGCGCAAGCCUGAUGCAGCCAUGCCGCGUGUAUGAAGAAGGCCUUCGGGUUGUAAAGUACUUUCAGCGGGGAUGAAGGGAGUAAAGUUAAUACCUUUGCUCAUUGACGUUACCCGCAGAAGAAGCACCGGCUAACUCCGUG
rnacentral:rRNA from 1 species